rnacentral:rRNA from 1 species
UACGAAGGGGGCUAGCGUUGUUCGGAAUUACUGGGCGUAAAGGGCGCGUAGGCGGCCUAGCAAGUUAGAAGUGAAAGCCCCGGGCUCAACCUGGGAAUUGCUUUUGAUACUGCUUGGCUUGAGUUCGGGAGAGGUGAGUGGAAUUCCCAGUGUAGAGGUGAAAUUCGUAGAUAUUGGGAAGAACACCAGUGGCGAAGGCGGCUCACUGGACCGACACUGACGCUGAGGCGCGAAAGCGUGGGGAG